rnacentral:rRNA from 1 species
UACAGAGGUCUCAAGCGUUGUUCGGAUUCAUUGGGCGUAAAGGGUGCGUAGGUGGCGCUGUAAGUCAGGGGUGAAAUUUCGGAGCUUAACUCCGAAACUGCAUUUGAUACUGCGGUGCUUGAGGACUGGAGAGGAGACUGGAAUUUACGGUGUAGCAGUGAAAUGCGUAGAGAUCGUAAGGAAGACCAGUGGCGAAGGCGGGUCUCUGGACAGUUCCUGACACUGAGGCACGAAGGCCAGGGGAGCAAACGGG